UACGAAGGGGGCUAGCGUUGUUCGGAAUUACUGGGCGUAAAGCGCACGUAGGCGGAUCUUUACGUCAGGGGUGAAAUCCUGGAGCUCAACUCCAGAACUGCCUUUGAUACUGGGGAUCUCGAGUCCGGAAGAGGUGAGUGGAACUCCGAGUGUAGAGGUGAAAUUCGUAGAUAUUCGGAAGAACACCAGUGGCGAAGGCGGCUCACUGGUCCGGUACUGACGCUGAGGUGCGAAAGCGUGGGGAGCAAACAGG
rnacentral:rRNA from 1 species